rnacentral:lncRNA from 1 species
AACAUAGCUAUUCCCUAAUAAAGAUGGACCUUAAAUUUCUACUUCCUUUUCACCAGAGCUAAAAAUACGGUGAAAGAUGUACAACAAGAGAAACACACAACACAUUUUCCAUUUUCGAGCUUCCUCCUUCGCUUUUCUCGUUGCUUCAACGUGCACAUCUGGAACCUCAAUCAGCUCAGCCAAGUGUUCAUCGUCUUUAAGCUUGAAACGCCUAAGCAGUCCAUUAAUGGUGGACUUGGCUCUUGCAUCCAUCUCGGCUUCACUCCAACGAAAAAAGUUACAAGAACCAGUUGCACACGUCAAGAACUUGCGCCCCGGAUUGUACUCGGUCCACGAUGUCUUCUCGAUCGCCCAGUUGCCGCACUAACACUGUUGAUUCAUUGUAAUCGCUUUGGGGGAGAUGAAUAAUUA